GAUGAACGCUGGCGGCGUGCCUAAUACAUGCAAGUCGAGCGAACGGACGAGAAGCUUGCUUCUCUGAUGUUAGCGGCGGACGGGUGAGUAACACGUGGAUAACCUACCUAUAAGACUGGGAUAACUUCGGGAAACCGUAGCUAAUACCGGAUAAUAUUUUGAACCGCAUGGUUCGAAAGUGAAAGACGGUCUUGCUGUCACUUAUAGAUGGAUCCGCGCUGCAUUAGCUAGUUGGUAAGGUAACGGCUUACCAAGGCAACGAUGCAUAGCCGACCUGAGAGCGUGAUCGGCCACACUGGAACUGAGACACGGUCCAGAGUCCUGAGGGAGGCAGCAGUAGGGUAUCGUCCGCAAUGGGCGAAAGCCUGACGGAGCAAGCGCGAGUGAGUGGUGAAGGUCCUCGGAUCGUAAAACUCUGUUAUUAGGGAAGAACAUAUGUGUAAUUAACUGUGCACAUCUUGACGGUACCUAGUCAGAAAGCCACGGCUAACUACGUG
rnacentral:rRNA from 1 species